GGGGGCGUUCUGGUUUCGACGGAAUGUUUGAAGCGCUGGCUGCACGUAGAGGUUGGUCGGUUGGCCUCUUAAAAAAGCCGCCCAAAACACAUAAAUGCAAACUCUAACGAGCUCGCACUUGCUGCUUAAUUGACAGCAACGCCGAUUCCCCGAUGUCUGUUGAGGGAGGAAGCGAAACUUAGCAGACUGGAUGGUGAGCCGGGGAACCGGGCAUGCCAUCGAGACCAAACAGGCUCCUAGGAAUCACAACGCGGCGGGUCGGCCCAGCGGUUCCGAAACACCAGAUGAUCCGCUAAACGUGUAGACGCCUUCGCAGAUGACGUUCCGGACAGGGGUUCGACUCCCCUCGCCUCCACCA
rnacentral:tmRNA from 1 species